rnacentral:lncRNA from 1 species
GGGUGAGCUAACAGGACUCGUUCUUCCUCUCUUUGCAUUUAAAAAUAUCUGUCUUGCACUGUUUCUGCUUCUGUCAGUUAUUGUCAGCAUCCUAUCCAGAAGAUAUAAUGUAUAGUCUCUAUGCCCUGUGGAAUUUUGGAGAGUGCAUGCUUUCAUCAGAGUCUUCACAAAGUGCUCACAACCGGAAGAUGCUCGGCAUUGAGGUAGCCACCACAGCCGUAGGACAUGCCCUAAAGUUUGUGUGUAUACAGAGUCUGUGGGACUGUGUGUGUGCAGUGGAGCAGAAGACUUUCCCCCAAGUAAAGCACAGUGAGUUACAUGCAGACUUG